UACGGAGGAUGCAAGCGUUAUCCGGAAUGAUUGGGCGUAAAGCGUCCGCAGGUGGCUAUGUAAGUCUGCUGUUAAAGAGUGAGGCUCAACCUCAUAAGAGCAGUGGAAACUACAUGGCUAGAGUGCGUUCGGGGCAGAGGGAAUUCCUGGUGUAGCGGUGAAAUGCGUAGAUAUCAGGAAGAACACCGGUGGCGAAAGCGCUCUGCUAGGCCGCAACUGACGCUGAGGGACGAAAGCUAGGGGAGCGAAUGGG
rnacentral:rRNA from 1 species